UACGAAGGGGGCUAGCGUUGUUCGGAAUUACUGGGCGUAAAGCGCACGUAGGCGGACUAUUAAGUCAGGGGUGAAAUCUCGGGGCUCAACCCCGAAACUGCACUGGAUACUGCCUUGCUCGAGUACUGGAGAGGAGAUUGGAAUUUACGGUGUAGCAGUGAAAUGCGUAGAUAUCGUAAGGAAGACCAGUGGCGAAGGCGAAAUCUCUGGACAGUUACUGACACUGAGCACGAAGGCCAGGGGAGCAAACGGG
rnacentral:rRNA from 1 species